rnacentral:rRNA from 1 species
AACCUGGUUGAUCCUGCCAGUAGUCAUAUGCUUGUCUUAAAGAUUAAGCCAUGCAUGUCUAAGUAUAAAUAGUAUACAGUGAAACUGCGAAUGGCUCAUUAAAACAGUUAUAGUUUAUUUGAUAAUUGAAUGCUACAUGGAUAACCGUGGUAAUUCUAGAGCUAAUACAUGCUGUAAAACCUGACUUUUUGAAAGGUUGUAUUUAUUAGAUACCAAACCAAUAUUCCUUCGGGUCUAUUGUGAUGAUUCAUAAUAACUGAUCGGAGCGAAUUCCAUUCGCUAAAUCAUUCAAGUUUCUGCCCUAUCAGCUUUCGAUGGUAGUGUAUUGGACUACCAUGGCAGUCACGGGUAACGGGGAAUUAGGGUUCGAUUCCGGAGAGGGAGCCUGAGAAACGGCUACCACUUCUAAGGAAGGCAGCAGGCGCGUAAAUUACCCAAUCCUGACUCAGGGAGGUAGUGACAAGAAAUAACGAAUCGGGGCCUCACGGCUUACGAUAUUGCAAUGAGA